rnacentral:rRNA from 1 species
AACGAACGCUGGCGGCAUGCCUAACGCAUGCAAGUCGAACGAGACCUUCGGGUCUAGUGGCGCACGGGUGCGUAACGCGUGGGAACCUGCCCUUAGGUUCGGAAUAACUCCCCGAAAGGGGUGCUAAUACCGGAUAAUGUCUUCGGACCAAAGAUUUAUCGCCUUUGGAUGGGCCCGCGUUGGAUUAGCUAGUUGGUAGGGUAAAAGCCUACCAAGGCGACGAUCCAUAGCUGGUCUGAGAGGAUGAUCAGCCACACUGGGACUGAGACACGGCCCAGACUCCUACGGGAGGCAGCAGUGGGGAAUUUUGGACAAUGGGCGAAAGCCUGAUCCAGCAAUGCCGCGUGAGUGAUGAAGGCCUUAGGGUUGUAAAGCUCUUUUACCCGGGAUGAUAAUGACAGUACCGGGAGAAUAAGCUCCGGCUAACUCCGUG